ACGGGAGGCAGCAGUGGGGAAUAUUGGACAAUGGGCGCAAGCCUGAUCCAGCCAUGCCGCGUGGGUGAAGAAGGCCUUAGGGUUGUAAACCCCUUUCAGCGGGGAAGAUAAUGACGGUACCCGCAGAAGAAGUCCCGGCUAACUCCGUGCCAGCAGCCGCGGUAAUACGGAGGGGACUAGCGUUGUUCGGAAUUACUGGGCGUAAAGCGCGCGUAGGCGGACCUGCAAGUCGGGGGUGAAAGCCCGAGGCUCAACCUCGGAACUGCCUUCGAUACUGCGGGUCUCGAGUCCGGGAGAGGUGAGUGGAAUUCCUAGUGUAGAGGUGAAAUUCGUAGAUAUUAGGAAGAACACCAGUGGCGAAGGCGGCUCACUGGCCCGGUACUGACGCUGAGGCGCGAAAGCGUGGGGAGCAAACAGGAUUAGAUACCCUGGUA
rnacentral:rRNA from 1 species